rnacentral:piRNA from 1 species
UAGAUGUGUACUCGGAGAGCUGA